rnacentral:rRNA from 1 species
AACGAACGCUGGCGGCAUGCCUAACACAUGCAAGUCGAACUAGCCCUUCGGGUCUAGUUGCGCACGGGUGCGUAACGCGUGGGAACCUGCCCUUAGGUUCGGAAUAACUCCCCGAAAUGGGUUCUAAUACCGGUUAAUGUCUUCGGACCAAAGAGUUAUCGCCUUUGGAUGGGCCCGCUUUGGAUUAGUUAGUUUGUAGCUUAAAAGCCUAACAAUGCGACGAUCAAUAGCUGGUCUGAGAGGAUGAUGAGUCACACUGGGACUGAGACACGGCCCAGACGCAUACGGGAGGCAGCAGGGGAGAAAAGUGGAAAAUUGGUGAAAGAUUGAGCCAGUAAUGCCGCGGGAAGGAUGAAGGCAAUAGGGGUGGAAAGCGAGUUUAUAUGGGAUGAUAAUGACAGUAACGGGAGAAUAAGCUACGGAUAACACCGGG